AAUACCAUAUUGUAUUCAUACAGAAUCAGUUUGGUAUCAUUGUUUGUCUGAUUGCUGAAACUAAGAGCUAGUUUUGAUCUAAAGUAUCCAAAGUUGAGCUCUAAUGUUUCUUCACCCUUGUGUGUGUGAUAUGUGAUUUCCUACAUGCUGACAGAGCAGAGCGGCCGUUUGUGCUCACAGAUGGUGACGGUGUGGAGAGACGGUGGUGUUUCCUCAGAAGAACUAGCAGAGUCACAAAGGGCACGAGUCCAUCUCACCACCUUGACUUGUUGAUCAGUGGACACACUUGUCUCCCCUUUAAAGGAGACACUCUUAGAGAGAGACGAUCUGAGUCAUCCUUAAAUAUGGGCAGGAUAUCAGUCUUGGACUGUCUAACCUGCAGGAGCAGCACUGAAUGAUCACCACACAUGAUCAGUUCCUGCAACAUUCAGCAGCUCUGCUUUUGUGUCAAAUGUCAACCAGCUGGAGAGGAAACUACACCAGUGUACUGGGAUGUUUCACCAACACGUGCCAGACGCUGUUCCUUCAUGGUGACAUCACCAGAGACAGCCCCGCCCACCUCAGGACCUCGCCAUUGAUCAUGAUGAUUUUAAUGAUGACAGCGAGCGGAACUAAGACUGUAAAAAUCAGAAUGUUUAGAUGCUUUCUAAUUAUUAAUGAAUACUGAGAGCCUCUUUCUGUGUUUUGUCUGUUUUGUUUUUUUUUACCUCAUUUGUUACUAACAAAGUUCAACAAACUCACACAGUUUACAUUCUGUAUGUUUCCAUCUUUACCAGCCACACUCUACCCGCAAUUAAGCAAAUAAUCCUUAGAAAUCGUCGUUUUUCUCUUUUGUAAUUGAUGAUAAUUCAGUGAAUAUACUGCGCUGCUUCCUUUUAUUUCGUCACACAUUGCUUUAAGUUUUUCCAGUGUCCAGUUAUUUUUUUACUGUUGUUUGAAUUCUCUGUAUGUUUGACCCUGUAGACUGUUUAAU